AGAAUAAGAGACUCCGUGAAGAGGUGGCCUGCCUUUAGCGAGAAGGGAAUUGAUCUGCAGGGACAGAGGAGUGCGGGCUUGGUACAUGUGAAUCAGUAAGAGCUGGUUUUGUUGGGUCAGGACGAACAUCAGCUUGCCUCUCUCUCAGGUGACUCGCUAUAUUCCAAGUAGCACAGCUACCUUCCCUUUUAAUGUAAAGAAUCUUAUCCCAGGAAUUUUGAGUUUGUAAGUGUCAAAGGUCAAGUUCCACUGCCCUUCAGUUCAAAACGUGAAGCCUUUCCCACCUAAUGAGAAAUAUACUUUUGAAUCCAAGCUUGUCAUUUACAUGGAGGAUUUCUGGUGAGGAGAGACUGAAAAUCUGACAAUACAGACCAGUCAGAGAUAGUGGGAACUGCAGAUGCUGGAGAAUCUGAGAUAACAAGGUG